UUCUGGCUCAGGAUGAACGCUGGCGGCGUGCCUAACACAUGCAAGUCGAACGGAAACCAGACGCUUCGGAGACUUCGGUCAAUGUUGUUGGUUUAGUGGCGGACGGGUGAGUAACGCGUGGAUAACCUGCCUCAUACAGGGGGAUAACAGUUAGAAAUGACUGCUAAUACCGCAUAAGCGCACGGGAUCGCAUGUUCCUGUGUGAAAAAACUCCGGUGGUAUGAGAUGGAUCCGCGUCUGAUUAGCUAGUUGGCGGGUAACAGCCCACCAAGGCGACGAUCAGUAGCCGGCCUGAGAGGGUGAACGGCCACAUUGGGACUGAGACACGGCCCAACUCCUACGGGAGGCAGCAGUGGGGAAUAUUGGACAAUGGGGAAACCCUGAUCCAGCGAACCGCCGCGUGAGUGAUGAAGUAUCUCGGUAUGUAAAGCUCUAUCAGCAGGGAAGAAAUUGACGGUACCUGACUAAGAAGCACCGGCUAAAUACGUGCCAGCCGCCGC
rnacentral:rRNA from 1 species